rnacentral:misc_RNA from 1 species
UCCGGUUCGACACCGGCAGUCUCGCUAGAGUACUCGCCAUGACGCGUGAGCAACUAACGACAGGGGUUGCGCUCGUUAAGGGACUUAACCCGACACUUCACAGCACGAGCUGACGACAGCCAUGCAGCACCUGUGCUUGUUCCACCCUUGCGGGUGUGGCUCCCGUUUCCGGGAGUUAAUCCAAGCAUGUCAAACCCAGGUAAGGUUCUUCGCGUUGCCUCGAAUUAAGCAACAUGCUCCACCGCUUGUGUGAGCCCCCGUCAAUUCCUUUGAGUUUUAGCCUUGCGACCGUACUCCCCAGGCGGUGCGCUUAUUGCUUUUGCUUCGACCGAGCCGGCGUCAGAGCCGCCCCGAUCUAGCGCACAUCGUUUACGGCGUGGACUAC